rnacentral:rRNA from 1 species
UACGGAGGAUGCGAGCGUUAUCCGGAUUUAUUGGGUUUAAAGGGUGCGUAGGCGGAUCGUUAAGUCAGUGGUCAAAUUGAGGGGCUCAACCCCUUCCCGCCAUUGAAACUGACGCUCUUGAGUGGAAGAGAAGUAUGCGGAAUGCGUGGUGUAGCGGUGAAAUGCAUAGAUAUCACGCAGAACCCCGAUUGCGAAGGCAGCAUGCCGGCUUCCGACUGACGCUGAAGCACGAAAGCGUGGGGAUCGAACAGG